GAGAAGGGCUGAUAACCAAGACAACGACACAAAGAUGGCGACAGAUUCCACUGCGGGACGCCAACAGGAGUCCAGAUUAACAGAUCGUCCUGCGGAGUACCAGAACCGUGUCCGUUACAACGGGACGACGACCGGCCUGACACCACGACACGACCACCACCGACCCAUCAUCGCCACGAGACACCUGUUUGAACCCUCUCUCUCCCUGUCUCUCUCCCUGUCUCUCUCCCUGUCUCUCAAACUCCCCUCUCUCCCUCCCCUCCUCUCUCUCCCCUCUCUCCCUCCCCUUUCUCCCUCCCCCUCCUCUCCCCCCUCUCUCUCCUCCCUCCCCAAUAGACACACCUGUUUGAACCCUCUCUCUCUCGCUCUCUCUCUCCCCAGGGUGGUAUGGAGAGAGGACCUAGCAGCAGCCAGGUGUGGAACCCCUCCUCUGUUUUCUGUAUGGACAGAGCAGAGCCCCCCCUGCUGACCUGGUGGUCCACCUGCAGGUCUGGGAUGGGGAGAGGGGGGAAACCCCAGUCCACUGGAGAGGAGUGGCACACCAUACAGGACGCUUGGGUGCAGCUGUUUCAAGGUCGAUGCCUGACUUACUGACUACAGGCGUGUGACUGACAGCUCGGCUGUCGGCGGCAUGCU
rnacentral:lncRNA from 1 species